GUGCUCACUUUUGUAGCAAAUAUACUAAAAUUGGAACGAUACAGAGAAGACUAGCGUGCAUGGCCCCUACACAAGGAUGACACACAGAUUCAUGAAGCAUUCCAUAUUUUU